AUGAACGCUAGCGGCAGGCUUAACACAUGCAAGUCGAGGGGCAGCAUAAUGGUAGCAAUACUAUUGAUGGCGACCGGCGGACGGGUGCGUAACGCGUAUGCAACCUACCCUUUACAGGGGGAUAACACUGAGAAAUCGGUACUAAUACCCCAUAAUAUUCUGGGAGGCAUCUUUCGGAGUUGAAAGCUUUGGUGGUAAAGGAUGGGCAUGCGUUGUAUUAGCUAGUUGGUAAGGUAACGGCUUACCAAGGCGACGAUACAUAGGGGGACUGAGAGGUUAACCCCCCACAUUGGUACUGAGACACGGACCAAACUCCUACGGGAGGCAGCAGUGAGGAAUAUUGGUCAAUGGACGGAAGUCUGAACCAGCCAUGCCGCGUGCAGGAAGACGGCUCUAUGAGUUGUAAACUGCUUUUGUACGAGGGUAAACGCAGAUACGCGUAUCUGCCUGAAAGUAUCGUACGAAUAAGGAUCGGCUAACUCCGUGCCAGCAGCCGCGGUAAUACGGAGGAUCCAAGCGUUAUCCGGAUUUAUUGGGUUUAAAGGGUGCGUAGGCGGUUUAGUAAGUCAGCGGUGAAAUUUUGGUGCUUAACACCAAACGUGCCGUUGAUACUGCUGGGCUAGAGAGUAGUUGCGGUAGGCGGAAUGUAUGGUGUAGCGGUGAAAUGCUUAGAGAUCAUACAGAACACCGAUUGCGAAGGCAGCUUACCAAACUAUAUCUGACGUUGAGGCACGAAAGCGUGGGGAGCAAACAGGAUUAGAUACCCUGGUAGUCCACGCAGUAAACGAUGAUAGCUCGUUGUCGGCGAUACACAGUCGGUGACUAAGAGAAAUCGAUAAGCUAUCCACCUGGGGAGUACGUUCGCAAGAAUGAAACUCAAAGGAAUUGACGGGGGCCCGCACAAGCGGUGGAGCAUGUGGUUUAAUUCGAUGCAACGCGAAGAACCUUACCAAGUCUUGACAUCCCUCUGACCGACUCUUAACCGAGUCUUUCCUUCGGGACAGAGGAGACAGGUGGUGCAUGGUUGUCGUCAGCUCGUGUCGUGAGAUGUUGGGUUAAGUCCCGCAACGAGCGCAACCCUUAUGGUCAGUUACUACGCAAGAGGACUCUGGCCAGACUGCCGUUGACAAAACGGAGGAAGGUGGGGAUGACGUCAAAUCAGCACGGCCCUUACGUCCGGGGCGACACACGUGUUACAAUGGUAGGUACAGAGGGCAGCCACCCAGUGAUGGGGAGCGAAUCUCGAAAGCCUAUCUCAGUUCGGAUUGGAGGCUGAAACUCGCCUCCAUGAAGUUGGAUUCGCUAGUAAUCGCGCAUCAGCCAUGGCGCGGUGAAUACGUUCCCGGGCCUUGUACACACCGCCCGUCAAGCCAUGGGAGUUGGGGGUGCCUGAAGUUCGUGACCGAAAGGAGCGACCUAGGGCAAAACCGAUGACUGGGGCU
rnacentral:rRNA from 1 species